rnacentral:lncRNA from 10 species
GGCAGGGGAAUCGCUUGAACCCAGGAGGCGGAGGUUGCAGUGAGCUCAGAUCAUGCCAUUGCACUCCAGCCUGGGCGAAAAGAGUGAAACUCCAUAUCAAAAAAAAAAAAAAAAAAAAAAAAAAAAGGAUUACUGGUUGCUUAGGAUUGGGUAGGGGAUAGAGAUGAAUGUUUGGGGAUUGAAAACUAAAGGAUACAGAUUUUCUGUUUGAGGGGAUGAAAGUGGGGGCAGGCAGAGCCCUGGAGGGGUGUCACACAGGUCUCGGGGUUCUCACCUCCAUACUCAGCUUGGUGUCUACUUCCUGCUUUUUACUGAUCUGGGCCACUGUCUGUGGGGCCGUCAGGGGGAGGUCCAGCCUUCCACCGAGGGAGUGCUAGCGGGCAGAUUGGAUGACAAACCUGUGGAUGGGGAUGGCAGCAGGGCAGGCAUGACUUCAGCCUGGGUUGGCAGAGUGUGGCUGCUUGAGGAGGGCACAGAUGAGCAGGAAAGCACCUUGGAGGGAUGGAAAAAAUUCUGGGGUGGGAAUUGGGAGUCCUGGGUUCCUUUUUUUUUUUUUUUUUUUGACAGGGUCUUCCUCUGUUGCUCAGGCUGGAGUGCAGUGCCGUGAUCUUGGCUCACUGCAACCUCUGACUCCCAGGCUUAAGCCAUCCUCCCACCUCAGCCUCCCAAGUAGCUGGGACUACAGGUGCGAGCCACGACAUCCAGCUAAUUUUUUGUGUGUGUGUUUUUAGUAGAGACAGGGUUUUGUCAUGUUGGCCAGGCUGGUCUGGAACUCCUGAGCUCAAGUGAUCCAUCUGCCUCAGCCUCCCAAAUUGCUGGGAUUACAGGCAUGAGCCACCACACCUGGCCAGGAGUCCUGGGUUCUAAUCCAAGGAUUGCCACUGUCUUCUUGGGAGACCUCAGGCAGGCUUGGCCAGGCAUGAUGGGCACCCACACAAGGCCUGGGGAAAAUAAUCUGUCUCUCCUGGUGGGGAGGAGGAUCUUACAUUGGGAUUAGCACAUAAGGAGCGGCUUCCUCCCCUGCUUCACAAUCUUUCUCAUUAUUUCCUGGUGAGAAUUAUUCAAGUUACUAUUUUCUUUCUUUUC